rnacentral:rRNA from 2 species
UGGGGAAUAUUGCGCAAUGGGGGCAACCCUGACGCAGCAACGCCGCGUGAAGGAAGACGGUUUUCGGAUUGUAAACUUCUUUUGUCGGGGACGAUAAUGACGGUACCCGGCGAAUAAGCUCCGGCUAACUACGUGCCAGCAGCCGCGGUAAUACGUAGGGAGCGAGCGUUAUCCGGAUUUACUGGGUGUAAAGGGCGAGUAGGCGGGAUAGCAAGUCAGAUGUGAAACCCCGGGGCUUAACUCCGGGCCUGCAUCAGAAACUGCUGUUCUUGAGUGAUGGAGAGGCAGGCGGAAUUCCCAGUGUAGCGGUGAAAUGCGUAGAUAUUGGGAGGAACACCAGUGGCGAAGGCGGCCUGCUGGACAUUAACUGACGCUGAGGAGCGAAAGCGUGGGGAGCAAACAGG